AGCUCCUGCGUCUCGUGCUGGAGGCCGGAAGCCGAGCCCGCCCCUCCCGUCGCCAGGUGCAUGGGACCGAAGCCUGGGCCCGGGGCUGCUCCUCCCUGCUCACUUCCACUGUCUCUGUCCGCCAUGAUGCUGCCUGCCUGCCUUCUCCCUCUGUCUGCUGCAAAGCCACGGCCAGCCACCGCGAGCGCCGGAACUCUCGCGAGAUCUGCACAGAGUACAUGUCAAAGGAGGAGGAGAAGAAGAAGAAGAAGAAGAAAAAAGGCGAGGGAAGCGUUAAUGCAGGGCGACGGCGACGGUCAGUGUGCGUUGUUUCACACGGGGUCGCGUCGGGAGCCGACGAGACAAUCGUGAAGUGAAGGGAAGUCGCUCGGAAGAAUCGCACCCAGGUCGAGUUUCGACUCGUGGAAAUAGCGUCUGGAGAAUUGUGGCGGGUUUUGUUUGUUUUGUUUCACUUCCGGGAAAGACCCCCCGGCGAGCUCACCUGUACAAAGUGGCGGGGAUCAACACUGCAUGAGACCUGUUCACUUAACCUGCCAUCGAGUUCACAAACCACGGCUCACUUGUGGAGCAGACCUCUGCAGGUGUCAGGCUGCUCACAGGCCUACACUGUCGAGGACCACCGACCUCUGCUCGGCCGUCCGGCGGGUCGCAUGCAACGACGAGGGAUCUCAGAGCUGCUUCCCCCUGAAAAUAGGCCUGCGUGCAGAGGAUAGGAUACUCAGACCAAGCUUACAAGCAGGUGUAGGCGAGUCUGGACAAUAAGCCUCCGCUGUGAUCGACUCUCAAAGUUUUGCGCCGCAUCCAUCCCGACACCGGAGCCCUGCCUCGGCUCCGCACCAGAUGCAGCAGCACCUCCGGAUCGGAUCGGCCGCGUGAUGCACGAUCGCAUGCUUCUGCAGACUCGAUGCCAAGCGACGGCUCAUUGAGGUUUGUGGGGGAUUUAAAUGCCGCGGCAGGACCAGCAGCACUAGUCCCGAUUGCUGCCAUGUAAAUAAAGCGUCGUUCCCCUUGCCGAGCGAGCUCCCGCAACCUACCUCAGCCUG